CUUUGAACACACAAUGAGGUUCAAGGCGGAAGGAG
rnacentral:ncRNA from 1 species